AUCAACAUUCAACCAGAACCAUAGAGUUCAAUAAUAUACUUUCAGCUUAUUGCGAAGGUAUUGGAGCUUCUACACAUCAAGGUAUUUUCUUUUUAUCAACUGAAAUAUUAGUGUAUAUAUAUAUAUAUAUAUAUAUAUCUAUAAAUCUAUAAUAUAUGAAAUAUAUAUAUAUAUAUAUAUAUAUGGAAAUCACCCUAAUUCAUGUUUGUAUGUUUUCUUUAGGAUGAAAAUUACGGUGACAAUUAAAAAGGAUGAGAAAGUGGUGCACGUAAUAUCUGUGGAGCAGACACAGAAAAUAUCAGAGUUGAAAUUCUCACCGAAGUUGAGGAAACAAAUGCAUAAUCAUUAUUUUAACUUUUUCUGUGAAGGUCCUGGACGAAGAAGAACAAACUUGGAGAGAUUUUUAUAGUGAUUAUGCUACUGAAUAUCAACUUAAUCCUGAUUGUGCAUGUUUUACUUUCAUUGUCCAUCUAACACCUAAGUGUGAUCGGAUAUACUUUCAUACUUGAAGUAGAUAUUUUUUUUGUCUUAGCAGUUGAAUGUUAAAUAACAGCUGAGAUGAGAUGAUAAAUUACCACACAAAAAUAAUUUUUUUAUUAGAAUAAUACUCGUGCUUUAGUUAAGUGUGGG
rnacentral:lncRNA from 1 species